rnacentral:lncRNA from 1 species
AUAUGGGAAAGUGACAAGAGGUGAGAAGGACAUCAGGAUGAAGUGUCGCAAAGGCAGAUUUACCUUGAAGUUCUCAAGCUGAAUCUUCCAGUUAUCUUACUGGCAUGGGCCCAUUCCAAAACGUAAUGACUAUAAGGAGGAAGCAGCAGCCUGGUCAGUCACAUGGCAGAGUCACAGAGUGCUGCCUCACUCUGGAGGCCACCACAUCCAUGGGACACCAGACAACACUCUGGGUAGCCUAGCCAAAGAUCCAGGAAGUCCAUGGAUUCUGCAGUUUCUACCAUAGCCCUUGAGAGGGUGACUCUGGGGGAGUGCUGCCUGGCAGGGUGAGGCCUACCCACUCCUCUGCUGGGUCUGUCCAGAGCAAAGAGGGUCCUGAGGUUCUCCAAAGAGAGAUGGGUUAAAACGAAUGCAAGAGGAAAGAUGUGCAUUCAGCGCAGAGUUUGAGUGUUGACAAUGAAAUCUGGAUACCAUCAAUUUGUGUUUGAGGUGUGGGGGUGUGGUGGAUGGAGAAUCACAGAGAAGAAUAUAAUUAAGAAGUUGUUAAUGGAGAUUCUAAGAGAGGCAUGCCUUUGGACAGUGGCCAAGGAUUCUGGUGAUGGGUGUCAGGAUGACAUUAUGGUACUUUGACCCUCAAAUUGCUAUGGAGUUGUCCAACUGCAGGCUUCUCUGCGUGGUCUAAUGGUGUUUGAUUGGAUUUACAGUUUGUAGGAGGUUAUUCUGGCACAUCUUCAAAUGUCCAGAUAACUUUGUGGGAGAAUUAGGCUAGGAGAGUGUAACACUAUCUAAAUAACCUGGACAUACACUGACAAUUUAUUUUGAACCUGAAGUUGACAACUGUUUUUCUAGUAGAUUUGUCAACCAUUUUUGCAGAACAGAAUAAGGUCUUCUGUACUAUGUAUAUUCUUGUCCUUUAUUAAUAUGUAUGUGCCAGGCAUGGUUGAAUUCUUUAAUGUAUUAAUUAAUUUAUUUUUAAAGACAUAUUCUGAUUUUAGAGUUGAGAAAA